UAAUUAGGGGUGAAAGGCCUAUCAAACUUGGAAAUAUCUUGUUCUCUCCGAAAUAACUUUAGGGUUAGCCUCGACAACCUCCAUGCAGGGGGUAGAGCACUGGAUCCCUGAGGGGGCCUACCGGCCUACCGACGGGAACCAAACUCCGAAUACCUGUAUGGCAGUCGGGAGAUAGACAGCGGGGGAUAAGCUUCGUUGUCAAGAGGGGAACAGCCCAGAUCGCCGAUUAAGGCCCCUAAUUCUAGUUUAAGUGUGUAAGGAAGUGAAGUCUCAAAGACAGUUGGGAUGUUGGCUUAGAGGCAGCCAUCAUUUAAAGAGUGCGUAACAGCUCACCAAUCGAGAGAUUUUGCGCCGAUAAUAUUCGGGACUAAAGACUAGAGCCGAAAUCGCGGAUUCACAUGUUUACAUGUGAGUGGUAGGAGAGCGUAGUAGUCAGCGCUGAA
rnacentral:rRNA from 1 species